rnacentral:rRNA from 1 species
CAGUAGCCGCGGGAAUACGAAGGGUGCAAGCGUUAAUCGGAAUUACUGGGCGUAAAGCGUGCGUAGGCGGUUUGUUAAGUCUGUUGUGAAAUCCCCGGGCUCAACCUGGGAAUGGCAAUGGAUACUGGCAAGCUAGAGUGUGUCAGAGGAUGGUGGAAUUCCCGGUGUAGCGGUGAAAUGCGUAGAGAUCGGGAGGAACAUCAGUGGCGAAGGCGGCCAUCUGGGACAACACUGACGCUGAGGCACGAAGGCGUGGGGAGCAAACAGGAUUAGAUACCCGCGUAGUCCCUGUCUCUUAUAA